CGCCUGCCCAGUGAAUAAUUAAACGGCCGCGGUACCCUAACCGUGCAAAGGUAGCGUAAUCAUUUGUCUACUAAUUAUAGACCUGUAUGAAAGGCAAAAUGAGGAUUUAACUGUCUCUUAUAAUAAAUCAAUUAAACUGAUCUCCUAGUAAAAAAGCUAGAAUAAUAACAUAAGACCAGAAGACCCUGUGAAGCUUAAAUCAAACUAUUAAACCAUAUAAUAACUACUUUCGGUUGGGGCGACCUUGGAAAAAAAAAGAACUUCCAAGACCCAGCACAGCUGAUAAUUGAACCAAGUUACUCCAGGGAUAACAGCGCAAUCUUCUUCAAGAGCCCAUAUCAAAAAGAAGGUUUACGACCUCGAUGUUGGAUCAGGACAUCCUAAUGGUGCAGCCGCUAUUAAGGGUUCGUUUGUUCAACGAUUAACAGUCCUACGUGAUCUGA
rnacentral:rRNA from 1 species